UUUGGUACUUACUGCCUAUAUGA
rnacentral:miRNA from 1 species